AUGACCUUACUCUGCAACACUGGGAUGUCUUGCUUUUGGGAAAUUUCCUGCGCUGGGUUCCCUCCCCUGGCCACCAGCCUCCCGUCCUGUCCUGUGGUUAUCUUGGGGCUUCCCAAAAAAUCUAGGAGUGAAAACAAAAUGGAUGCAUCUGUAGAGAAUCAAAGAAAAAUUAGAAGGAAACAAAAAUAUUUUGUGGCAACAAGGCAGGAAUAA
ensembl:lincRNA